CCGCUCAGCUCAGCUCUGCAUUUAAGCCGAUGUCCGUUCAGCGAAGACCACCAACCUUCCCCCUCAUCUUCGCGGCCACACUUACUGUCUGCAUCCUCAACUACACAAGCGCAUUCCUACUCAACGUCCUCCAAGUCCCACAGCCCCACAGCCACUUACACCGCCCGGGACCGGUACAUUCUGGACCAGGUGCUGAAGGGGUCAUUUUCACUGAUAGCUCAGUGAUUGCAGAGUCCUUUCCACCCUUCUCCCAGGCACCCCCGGAUACGGCCCCAGAGGGCCUAAGAGGUGGCUUUCACAGUCUAGGUUUCUCUUCUUGAGAAGCUCCUUGACGAUCCGGGUCAGAACCCGGGUUGGAGAGGGUUCUGUCAGCCCUCCCCAGCUGUCCUGCAGUUUGGGGAGCCUGAAGGUGCCCCGCUCGAACUUCCACCUCCUUUCCUUCCCCGCCCCCCAUACCCCUAGGUUUCAGAUUGACGCUAGGCACUGGACCGAGCCUGCUCAGUCACCCUCGGCUGCUAUAGAUUCCGAGGGUGGUGGCCGCCCCUGGCCAUUUCCCUCCUCUCCCUUCGGCUCUAGACCCAGCCCAAGGCCCAGAAAACAGUGAUGAGACCCCGCAGGGAGGUGCCUGGGGCGGAGCCGGCUCCAGGUGGUUACCCCAUGCUGAGUACACACCCAGCUACGCAGUCUCGGAGGAGGGAGGAAGGAGCCAGCCCGGAGCACCUCGGGACUCUGCCGGUCCCAGAGGCCACGCAAACUUUGCCCAGACACAGUGAGGACGAGAGGGUCAGAAGCAGCACAGGAUUCCUAGACAAGGAGCGCGGGGACCUGGCUACGCUGUCCCCGGCCUUUGGAGACAGCCCAUGGCACCAGGCUCUGGAGAGCCUUCUUCCUGACUUCAGCGGGGUGAAGAUGAUACAAUACUUUCUGGUGCUGACAUUCAGCUGUCCCCCAAGCAGCAUUGUGCUCUCCAGAAAGGCUGCACUUGGUCACAGUUUCGUUAGCAUGGCAUUCGAAUGCGGCCUCCUUGGAUUCUGGCCAGCACUGGGCACUGCUGCUGUCUUCGAGCCACUAGUUCUCAAUCUGGGGCAUGGCUUUGAAGAGAAGGUUGCUAAGCCUCCUCAACCCCAAUGCACACCAAUGCCAUUUCCCCACUCAUCUGGAAACCUGGUGGGUCCUGGCCAAACGCCUGUAUGUCAAUUCCACCUCCAACUUGGCUGCCUACCAUGCCAACAUUUUCAUCUCAAGCCUUUCAGAUCUGCUUUGGGCACCCGAAGACAGAGUGAAUCAUCUUUCAAGGAUAUUACUUCUCCAGGUGCUUUCCCAGACCCCUCACUUUAUUCCAGAAGGAGCUACCACCACUUUUGCCUGGCGAGUACGUUUUCACAGUUACACUUAUACGCUACAGCAACUUAUUGGUGAUUUGUCUGUCUCCCUUACUCAACAGUGAAUUAUUCACCUAUCCCUGGAAACCUGGAACUACUCAAUAAAUGUUUGUGGCAUGAAUAUACAUAUACGCUCUUCUGCCUUUCAUUUUUUUACAUACCCUUCAAGGCCUUGCUCAGCCAUCACCUCCUUUUUCCUGGAUUCACUUCCCUGUAGAGUUAAUCAUGCCUCUGUGUUCCCAUGGCACUUUGUAUGUGAUUUCAUUAAAAACUUGCCUGCUGAAAAACCGAAGACAUCAGCUUGAUAUAAGAGAAAAAAACCUUGCCAAAUUGCCUCAUAUUUCCUUAUCAGCCUAUCUGGGGCUACCAUGUUGCACAACUCUGGGACACGAUUCACAUUAAAUCAAGCAAAGCAGAGAUGGCACCUGUACUUGCCCACUAGGCAGUGAAAUUCUGCAGA
ensembl:lncRNA